rnacentral:rRNA from 1 species
UACGUAGGGCGCAAGCGUUGUCCGGAAUUAUUGGGCGUAAAGAGCUCGUAGGCGGUUUGUCGCGUCUGCUGUGAAAGCCCGGGGCUCAACCCCGGGUCUGCAGUGGGUACGGGCAGACUAGAGUGCAGUAGGGGAGACUGGAAUUCCUGGUGUAGCGGUGAAAUGCGUAGAUAUCGAGAGGAACACCUGCGGCGAAGGCGGGUUGCUGGGCUGACACUGACGCUGAGGCGCGAAAGCCAGGGGAGCGAACAGG